GGAUGAUACAUGUAACUUGACUCUGGCUGAGGGGUUUCAACAGCAACGCUGUUAUUUAUUUUUUUACUACACUAACCCUAGGUAUUUUUGUGACUCUAUGGCUGGUAUGUGUGUAUAGUCAGCACUGAAUAUUCUGGAUGCACACUCAGUCAUAGAACCCAGCAUCCCCUAUGAGGUCUGCAGUACUUUCCUAGAAUCCCCACUGAUUGCUGGCAUGAUACUUUUGAGAAUUAAUAUACUGAGAAAAGGUCUUGGUGUCAGCAGAUGAUAUGCCUGGCUUGAAUGUUGGGAUUGUUGAAGUGCAAUGAGCUGUUGAUCAUAAGGUACAUGUAUGCAUUAAGCAUACUUCAUACCUCUGGCAUGUCUGGUGCCUGAAAUAGUUUUCUGUCUUACCUUUAUUCAAUCAAAGCCAAAUAGCAUAGUUUUUUUUUAUUGUAUCAUGAUGCCUUAUGGAAUUCCAAUAUGGCUAUUAAUUAUCAAUGUAUGAAUUCCCAGCCAUUAUCACUGGCUUACAUGUACAUGUAGUUGUAAUUUUUAAGAUGUGACCUCGGAUAAAACAAGACACGUUUAUGAGUCUGUAAAGAUUAAACGCUGAUUGCAAUCACAUCCUGGUGGUUAGUUUCCCUUACAUGUAAAUGCAAUAAGGAAGAAGGAAAUAAUACUUUACAAAAUCCUGACAAAAUUUCAUCGUGCAUAACACAUGUAUAUGCAUAGGGGCUGUGCACUUUAAAAUAAUUUAGUAUUUGAAUAUUCAGACUUGGAUUUGAUUAGAUAUUUGAAUAUUCAAAAAAUGCUGAUCAAGCUUUCCUUGUGCGAGCCUACAUUGCUGCAACAGUGGAAAUUAAAUGGGACACUGAUUGGGAUUUGCUUGCCUUAAUUCUUUUAAACAUUAAAGGUAGAGUACAUCAUUUGUCAUUUGUGCAUUUUUUUUUUUUAAAUUUGAAGCAACAAAAGUGCUCAAAAUCUAAAGAAGGGUGCUUAACAACUAAUAUGAUGAAGUUUCAACUCUGUGAAUGCUAAACGUUCCGAGAAAACAAUAUUCUAGGGUCUUGAUUUCAAUUCAAAAGUUGCCGAGUCAUGUUUUGAAUUGCUUCCGAAAUCAGCGUCUGGGACACGUUCUCAUUCAGUCAGUUGCAGCUACAUUGUGUACGCGAUGUCACGCAUUGAACUUAGGAAUAGAAGCAACUGUGCGCCUGUGCAUCAUGUCAACGCUUGCGCGAACUCAUUCUCAGCUUCGCCUUAUUAAUAACAAACUGCUGCAAAUGAUGUACUCUACCUUUAAGAACAUCGUUAACUUAAAAUGUUUAGAGGUAGCUGACCAGCGGAUACCGGUACUGGACAGAUUUUGAUGAUGGAAAUUAAAGCUGCUAUUCCUCACUUAAAUCAGACUGUCAACAAAAAUGUGGCAUUUGGCAGACAAUAGAACCACGCAAGAGGGACACUAAGAGGGACAUUCAAAUGCAUUGCCUAGAGUAUUGGACACUCACGCGUGCACAUUCGGAAUAAAAGUAGUCCUACAUGUACAUACACGUAUACAUGUAUACAUUUACUUUCUCGCUUGCUAUGUACAAAUGAAAUACGUAUUCAUGUACAAUGUAUGCACGCAGUGUGUCCCUCUGACUGGGGCUGUUGAGAGUGAUCGUAAAGCACCAUCUACUGUUUGUGCACAGAGACCAUGCAUGUACUGUAUUGUACCGUAAGUUCAUGUACAUGUACAUUGUCAAAGAGUGAACGAUCCACAUGUGUAACCUACAUACGUGUACAAACGUGUAUGUUAUUUUUGGGAAGUCGUUUAAAUAUAAAAAUGCUUUUUCUGAAUAUGUGCCACAGGAUCCUUGCAUGACUGCACAUGUACAGUUAUGACGGUAUUCUUUGUGACACUGAUGCUGAGGUUGUAUACCGGUACGUGUGGGUCGUGCAUGGUCAUUGUCACAAAUGGCUGAUGAAGACACAAAUGGUGGAUGAAGAUACAAAUGGUGGAUGAAGACAUUUGGAGAUGGAGCAGUCACAUGCCAUGAGCAUAGCAGUGGACAGCACAUUGGAUCUUGUACUGUAGGAUCAAGUUAAACAAUAAUUUGCAAGCAGGAGGGGAUAUUUUUGGGAACGUUAUCACAUCUGUUCUUUAUUGUGUAUGCACACUGGGAAAAAAACCCUGGAAAUGCAUUGGAAAGCCAUCCUCAUUCACAGAAAAUAACGUAUAGAGGAAUUUCGAAUGAGCACCUUCUGCGCAGUUCUGUAUCUGUAUCUGUAUAUUAUAGUUGGUAAAGCAUCCCAGGGGAAACAUCACACCAACUUAGAGAGAAGACAAUGAGAAGAAAUUACAGUUUUCCGCAUUGAAACCGAGGCUCUCGGUGGCACACAUUCUGCAUGCGCUAUUCGUUACAACAGGCAGGUAGGUCGGUCCUCUCAUAUAAGACGUUUGCCUUUCUGUAAAUCUUGCGAAUUUUUAGUGGUGGUGGCAUGUAAUAAAUCCAUAGUUGAUAGCAUAAAUCUACGAGUAUGUCACUGCCAUGCUAUUAAAGAAUAUACCAAUAUUGUUGACCAAUUUUUUGUUCUUCGACGCACUAUUUUGUGUAGUAUAUUGGCCAUGUCGGCAUACUCAGGGAACCUGAAGAUUACGCGUGGUCACUGUAGGCCAAAGUUCAGAAACUAGACCAAUUUUUGUGGCUCCUCAAAUUAUUCUGAAAUAUUAUUGCUGUUUCGUAGUUUUAUGAGUUUAGGUUGCUCAGCUGUUUUUGAUAGACUGGUAGAAUAUUGGAAAGAAGACAGUGCCAUCUGCAAUUAGAUUCCAGGUUUGCAGAUGUGAUUAAAUGGAGGCUCUACAUGUACCUCUAGUAUGUUUACAUCUUUAACGAUUGAAGAAAUUAGCUAAGAGUGGUGCAUUGAUAUAGAAAAAUCCAUGUGAGAAACUUUACUUGACAUCAUUGUCAUUUUAAAACAGUUUUUGAAAAUUACAUGAAUGGAUUUUUUUUAUUCAUUACACAAUAGCUUAUCUGACAAGAUGACAUUCCAGGAGGAAAACGGGAUGUUUGUGUGCCUGUCCUUCUAAAACUAAAAUGUGAAGAGCUAAAGGUUUUGGCUUAAAUGUCGUGGAGAUUCUUGCAAGGGCUUCAAUUAAAAACCAAGGCGCAGAUGAUAGAGAGAAUCCAACAGAUUGUUAGAAAUGGAAAUGAGCCUACAAUCAUUGAUCCCACUCCAGAUAAGCAUUGGGAGAGUCUCCAGUGCAGGGUCAGCUGGCAUUAACUGGAGCAGAAUAGUGCGACUUUGUUGUUUACACACACAAAGGUUUAAUCAUUCAACGAACACCUUUUGAAUUAACACUUUGGAAUUAACACUUUGGAAUAUCCUAUAUUAUAGAAAUUUCAGAACUAAAUCAGAAGUAUAUUUGGCUUCUACAUCUAAGUGGCUACAGCAUUGGCUGAUAUGGUUCUUUUUGUUAUAUUUUGCAUUGUGAAUAUUAGGAUUCAUAGUUUUAAGAGGCAUUCCUAUUGAUACAUGUACAUGUAGUUUGUAAUCAUAAGACAUUAGGCAUAAGUGAUCAACUGGUAUCGCACACUGGUUUUGGGAUCAAACUUUCGUCAAAUAGUGUCAAUGUAGACCCCUAUCAAAUUAUCAGAAACAAAAAGGUGUACUUGUAUAACUCAGUUGUAUGCAUUUAUUGAAACUUAAAGUGAGAGGUUGUACAUCCUUAUCUUGACCUCUUUGAGUGAACAAAUAUUUUGUGGCAAGUUUUGCAAGGGUCAUUUAAGGGCUAACAUCAAAAUACACAGUUAUGAAAAUAAGUCAACAGGCCAAGCACAUUAACAUUUAUUUUUUUAUUUCAUAUUUAUUCCACAGGCAUUACAGUGCCUGAAUGUAAAAUAAAGCAAAAACACUUUAAUAAAAUCAAGAAAAUGCUGGGCACAUUUGAAAUAAAUUGAACAAUGGACAUGUAUUUAAAUUUAA